rnacentral:tRNA from 1 species
GGGGAUUUAGCUCAGUGGUAGAGCGCUUGCCUAGAGCGCUUGCCUAGCAAGCACAAGGCCCUGGGUUCGGUCCCCAGCUCCG